GAUGAACGCUGGCGGCGUGCCUAAUACAUGCAAGUCGAGCGAACGGACGAGAAGCUUGCUUUUCUGAUGUUAGCGGCGGACGGGUGAGUAACACGUGGAUAACCUACCUAUAAGACUGGGAUAACUUCGGGAAACCGGAGCUAAUACCGGAUAAUAUUUUGAACCGCAUGGGUCAAAAGUGAAAGACGGUCUUGCUGUCACUUAUAGAUGGAUCCGCGCUGCAUUAGCUAGUUGGUAAGGUAACGGCUUACCAAGGCAACGAUGCAUAGCCGACCUGAGAGGGUGAUCGGCCACACUGGAACUGAGACACGGUCCAGACUCCUACGGGAGGCAGCAGUAGGGAAUCUUCCGCAAUGGGCGAAAGCCUGACGGAGCAACGCCGCGUGAGUGAUGAAGGUCUUCGGAUCGUAAAACUCUGUUAUUAGGGAAGAACAUAUGUGUAAGUAACUGUGCACAGCUUGACGGUACCUAAUCAGAAAGCCACGGCUAACUACGUG
rnacentral:rRNA from 1 species